GAAAUUUCCUAUUCUAAGCUGUUUUAAGCAAGCCUAGUUCUGUCUAUCUAUUCUACCACAAUCCUAUUUGCUGCACUUAUGAUCGCAAAAUCUUAGACACGAAAUGCACAUUGGAGGUACAAGGAGUCGGGCAAUCACUGCUUCGUUCAUAUGAUCUAUCUCACAUCGCGUCAAGAUACAAAAUGGACGAUUGCUGAUGAUCGGCUGCACUCUUUCGUUAUUUCUACGGAUCUGACCCCGGAACUAUUUGAUACGGGUCAGUUAAGGAGCUAGUGGGAUCUCUCUUAUUGGAAUAAUAGUUAUGUAUCUUCCAUAACCAUGAGUGGUUCAUUAUCUAAUUGAAAAGAAAGAAAAUUCAAGUCCAUGUUAUCAAAGCGACAAAAUAAGAAAAAGAUUAUUUAUCAACGCAAUUGAAAACUACUCUCGCUUUCUAUGCACAACAGGAUUUGUUCCCUGCAAACCAAUCAUGACGCUAGUUGAAAAGAUGAGUUUCAACAUAAUAUACAAUGGAAUAUAUAAAGAGGUUUUUAUUGAUUGUCCCUUCAUGAGUAUGAGGAAAAAUGAACAAUUUUCGCUGAGUGAACUGAAGAAAUAAUUUCAAUUACUGUGAAAAGUUUUUUGCUGCCAAUCAUGAUUUUUAAUUUUUGAAGAAAUACAGGAAAUAUUAUGGAUGGAAUUUAAAA